rnacentral:rRNA from 1 species
AUUGAACGCUGGCGGCAUGCUUUACACAUGCAAGUCGAACGGCAGCGCGGGGCAACCUGGCGGCGAGUGGCGAACGGGUGAGUAAUACAUCGGAACGUACCCAGAAGUGGGGGAUAACGUAGCGAAAGUUACGCUAAUACCGCAUACGUUCUACGGAAGAAAGUGGGGGAUCUUCGGACCUCAUGCUUUUGGAGCGGCCGAUGUCUGAUUAGCUAGUUGGUGAGGUAAAGGCUCACCAAGGCGACGAUCAGUAGCUGGUCUGAGAGGACGACCAGCCACACUGGGACUGAGACACGGCCCAGACUCCUACGGGAGGCAGCAGUGGGGAAUUUUGGACAAUGGGCGCAGGCCUGAUCCAGCAAUGCCGCGUGAGUGAAGAAGGCCUUCGGGUUGUAAAGCUCUUUUGUCAGGGAAGAAACGGCUGGGGUUAACACCCCUGGCUAACGACGGUACCUGAAGAAUAAGCACCGGCUAACUACGUGCCAGCCGCCGCCGUAA